CAUACCCUCCCAUAUUACAACACAGCAGAGAAGCAGAAAGGGAACUGGCCGCAUGCAGAAGUGGCCAAGUAUAUGGGGUGGAUUCUGAGGCCCCCAUGACCUACUCAUCUUCCAUCAGGCCCCACCUCUUAAGGUUUCCACUGCCUCUUAAUUAUGUCACACUGGGGACUAAGCCACCAGCACAUGAACCUUUGGAGGACAUCCCAACCACAGUAGCCAUCUUCUAAGAAGUGAGGAUUUGGAGCCACUUUUCUGAAUUCGCUUUUGCAAGGGUCCUGUGGUUGGUAUACUAAAUAUCGAAACUCACCUUUUCCCCACUACAGCUGUUGCUGAGAAAUUCCUGCCAAAAGACAGACUAUAUUUGCUUCCCAGAUGUGCCCAACACCAUGCAUUCUACCAGAUAUGAUAAUUGAUGCCCAGGGAAAAAGAACAAGCUUUAGAGGGAAGACCAACAAACCAGAUGAUAACUUGUAGGAAACCACAAGAUAAAGAAGAAGAAAACUGGUGCAGUUUGGGUGUAAUGCUGACCCCAGAUCUCCCACUGAGCAGCAAUGAGAGAAAAUCCAGAGCCAGGCCCCUGCCUAAAGCCUAUGUGUGGAACUUCUUUCACCGCAGAGCAAAGCUACAGGAAGAAGCACACGAUGGAGCAAAGAAGCUGAAGGAUUGGCUUUGGGGACUGACAGGGGAAAAAAUCUGGUUCCACACCCUGAGCCAAUUAUGUAGACAUUGAAUUUAGUGUCCUUGUGUAUAAAUGAGGGCAAUAAAUAAAACAGUAAAAAAUAAAUAACUAAAGCAGUAGUCCCCACUUAAAAGUAGAGGAUAUGUUCAAAGAUCCCAGUGGAUGCCUAAAACCAUAGACCCAAACCCUAUAUAUGCAUUUUUUUCUCAUAUGCCCUGCAGUAUCACCACACAGUACCAGAGUUAAUCUGUCCUAGUUUUAUGCCAUAAUAACUUCUCUGCAUCACUACUUUAGUGUUUGGGGACCAUUAUUAAGUAAAAGAGGGUUAUUUGAACAUAAGCAUUGAGGUAGAGCAAAAGUGCAUCUGAUAGUCAAGAAAGCUACUAAGUGACUAAUGGGCUGGUAGCACAUACAGUCUAUUCACAUCCUGGGCAGCACAGGACAGCAUGGGAUUUCAUCAUGCUACCUGGAAUACUUAAAUCUUAUGAAUUAUUUCUGGGAUUUUCUUUUUCUUUUUUGUUUUUGUUUUGUUUUGAGACAGG
rnacentral:lncRNA from 1 species